rnacentral:tRNA from 1 species
GCCUGAGUGGCUCAGUCGGUUGAACAUCUGACUUCAGCUCAGGUCAUGAUCUUUGCUGUCUGUGAGUUCAAGCCCCGCAUCAGGCU